GCUGCGAGUACAGUCAGCUAUUGCUUAAUAAGAAUUGGCGUGGCUCUGGGCUGGUCGCUAUGCAUGACGCAGGAAAUCAGGCGUGAGUGACGUCCCUGCGAUUCUGCCAUUACGUCAUGGAUGAUUUUACGCUCUAGUUCUAGGAAUGCUCGAACAAUUCCCUACAGUACCAAGUAGCCUGUACCAAAUGGUGUAACCGCGGCCAUCGUUCCAUUGUGGUGUUUCAUGCGCAGGUUCCCGGCUAGAAUGACUCGGUCAUUCACCACAAGAGGGCCACAGAUAGUGUUGCCAAGAUGGUUGUGAACGAAGCCGACCAAUGGCUGUGACACAUCUCAUGGCUUGCUCACAAAGAGGACAGCAUCAUUAUUGCAGUGGUCAGGCUGCACCAAAAACUUCACGAACGAUGCUACCCCAGCCGAGAAUUGAAUCUGCCACCUCAAGCCGGGCAGCACAAUGCCAUAGCCAGGAAGCCAAUGCAGUGAAUUGCCAAUUCAGUUACUGCCCGACAACAAUAAUCCCGAUUAUUGUGGACUCCAACUAGCAUACGGUUUCAAUUCUAACGUUCACGUGAGAUUACGUAAUGUAGAGGUUCAAAACGCGGCAUUCUACCAAUGUAAAAAUAAAUUGCGAGAAGAAGUAUGCCAAUAAUAUAUUUAAACUGUCCAGCUUCACACCUUAGCUAAUCAUCAGCAUAUUGAAAGUGACAAUAAAAAUGUUAGAGCUACGCGUAAAAAUUAAGAGGCAUUCAAAAAACGGCAAGAUUUGUCACCAGCUGUGCUCACUAACCACAAUCUUUCCACGAUAAAGGUACCACCUGUAACCGUAAUACCCAUCGUACUGGGUGAAGUUCUUAAGUUAUGCUCGAGCCUGAUGGCCUGCACAACAGCUCAGGCAGUACACCUGCAGCAACCACAUAUGUUAUCAUCAUGUUGACUGUUGUUUUCGUCUUAAAACAUGCAUUCUAUUUUUACAAAUUUUUCAACACAAUUGGUCAAGCCAUCACUGUAGAAGCUUCUCUGCUGUUAAGCAGAGAAAUCAUCUAUGCCAUUUUAGAUAUGUCAUGUGCCUUUUCUAGUAGGCAUACAAACUUAAGUAUCUGCUUCAAACAGUAGUUCUGAUGACAUGCAGGUCGAACAUUAGCUGCUUGUAGCUUAGCGAAACAGCACUUGUGCAGAUUGGCAUGAGUGAAAACA